GCGACCCCAGGUCAGGCGGGGC
rnacentral:rRNA from 5 species